AGAGUUGAUCAUGGCUCAGGAUGAACGCUGGCGGCGUGCCUAACACAUGCAAGUCGAACGGAGUUAAGCGGAGCUUGCUUUGCUUAACUUAGUGGCGGACGGGUGAGUAACGCGUGGGUAACCUGCCUCAUACAGGGGGAUAACAGUUGGAAACGACUGCUAACACCGCAUAAGAUCGUAGUACCGCAUGAUACAGCGAUCAAAUAUUUAUAGGUAUGAGAUGGGCCCGCGUCUGAUUAGCUAGUUGGCGGGCAAUGGCCCACCAAGGCGACGAUCAGUAGCCGGCUUGAGAGAGUGACCGGCCACAUUGGGACUGAGACACGGCCCAAACUCCUACGGGAGGCAGCAGUGGGGAAUAUUGGGCAAUGGGCGCAAGCCUGACCCAGCGAACCGCCGCGUGAGUGAAGAAGUAUUUCGGUAUGUAAAGCUCUAUCAGCAGGGAAGAUAAUGACGGUACCUGACUAAGAAGCCCCGGCUAACUACGUGCCAGCAGCUGC
rnacentral:rRNA from 1 species